GUCCACGCCUUAAACUAUGGAUACUAAGUGUCGGCGGGUUACCGCCGGUGCCGCAGCUAACGCAAUAAGUAUCCCGCCUGGGAAGUACGGCCGCAAGGUUGAAACUCAAAGGAAUUGACGGGGGCCCGCACAAGCGGUGGAGCAUGUGGUUUAAUUCGACGCAACGCGAAGAACCUUACCCAGGCUGGACAUGCAGGUAGUAGAAGGGUGAAAGCCUAACGAGGUAGCAAUACCAUCCUGCUCAGGUGCUGCAUGGCUGUCGU
rnacentral:rRNA from 1 species